rnacentral:tRNA from 1 species
CGAGCACCGGUAGCUCAUCGGUAGAGCGUGCGAUUGCAAUAUCGGCAGUUAUCGCGAGGUAGCGUGUUCGACCCACGCUCGGUGCUU